rnacentral:rRNA from 1 species
ACUUAGCGGCGGACGGGUGAGUAACGCGUGGGCAACCUGCCUUACACAGGGGGAUAACAAUUAGAAAUGAUUGCUAAUACCGCAUAAGACCCCAGUACCGCAUGGUACAGAGGUAAAAACUGAGGUGGUGUAAGAUGGGCCCGCGUCUGAUUAGGUAGUUGGUGGGGUAGAAGCCUACCAAGCCGACGAUCAGUAGCCGACCUGAGAGGGCGACCGGCCACAUUGGGACUGAGACACGGUCCAAACUCCUACGGAAGGCAGCAG